CUCAUUACCAGUCAAGUCAUGUUGCACCUCAGAGUAUUUGUGCAAUACAGCCACCUCCCACAAACUUCAGAUUUCAAAGUGCUUUGUAGGCUCCUGGAGAGAUAGAGUAGGGGAUUGGGAGUGAGACUCCAACAGGGGAAGAAACUUGGCCAAGCUGUUCUCCCUCAACUCUCUGGGGACCCCUGAACACACAUCUGGCCCCUUUUCCUGACCUCUCUUUCCCCCACCAGCCUCUCAAUCGAGAGGCACAGGUUUCAAGACACAUCAUCCCCUCCGAUGGUUAGGGGUGGGAAAGUCAGAUCUGCCAGUUGUUUCACAUCUGUAAGAGGCCUGGAGAGGGAGAAAAUUGC
rnacentral:lncRNA from 1 species